rnacentral:rRNA from 1 species
UACGGGGGGGGCAAGCGUUGUUCGGAAUUACUGGGCGUAAAGGGCUCGUAGGCGGCCAACUAAGUCGGAUGUGAAAUCCCCAGGCUCAACCUGGGAACUGCAUCCGAUACUGGAUGGCUUGAAUUCGGGAGAGGGAUGCAGAAUUCCAGGUGUAGCGGUGAAAUGCGUAGAUAUCUGGAGGAAUACCGGUGGCGAAGGCGGCAUCCUGGACCGACAUUGACGCUGAGGAGCGAAAGCCAGGGGAGCAAACGGGG